rnacentral:rRNA from 1 species
AACGAACGCUGGCGGCAUGCCUAACACAUGCAAGUCGAACGAGACCUUCGGGUCUAGUGGCGCACGGGUGCGUAACGCGUGGGAACCUGCCCUUAGGUUCGGAAUAACUCCCCGAAAGGGGUGCUAAUACCGGAUAAUGUCUUCGGACCAAAGAUUUAUCGCCUUUGGAUGGGCCCGCGUUGGAUUAGCUAGUUGGUAGGGUAAAAGCCUACCAAGGCGACGAUCCAUAGCUGGUCUGAGAGGAUGAUCAGCCACACUGGGACUGAGACACGGCCCAGACUCCUACGGGAAGCAGCAGUGGGGAAUAUUGGACAAUGGGCGAAAGCCUGAUCCAGCAAUGCCGCGUGAGUGAUGAGGGCCUUAGGGUUGUAAAGCUCUUUUACCCGGGAUGAUAAUGACAGUACCGGGAGAAUAAGCUCCGGCUAACUCCGUG